GAAGUUUUCCUUUUUUAAAUCUCCUGCUUGAUGAGUCACAAAAUGCCACUGGCACUAUAUUACUAGUCACUCUAUAAAGCGGAUGCCAAGCACAGAUGGUGAAGAUGUUCCUGGCUUCCACCACUAUCUUGACAGUCCAAAUGCAGUCAGAGAUCACUGGAGAAGGGUAUAUGCCACACCUCCCAGCUGAGACAGCAAAACCUCCAGUCUCUUUCUAAAUACUUUCUUCAGAACAUCGGUGAUUCAGGAACUGAAAUGAGCCCUACGUUAUAAUAUUUUGUCAAUAAAAAAGACUGGGUCAAAAUCACAUCACUGUUUGAAUGAAAGGAAAGAAGAUAUAAUGAACAAAAACAGAAGUGGAGAGCAGAUGACACAACAAUGAGGAAAAGUUUUUGUUAUAAGUUAAAAGU